rnacentral:rRNA from 1 species
AUUGAACGCUGGCGGCAUGCCUUACACAUGCAAGUCGAACGGCAGCACGGGAGCAAUCCUGGUGGCGAGUGGCGAACGGGUGAGUAAAGUAUCGGAACGUGCCCAGUCGUGGGGGAUAACGUAGCGAAAGUUACGCUAAUACCGCAUACGAGCUAUGGAUGAAAGCGGGGGAUCGCAAGAACUCGCGCGAUUGGUGCGGCCGAUAUCAGAUUAGGAAGUUGGUGGGGUAAAGGCUCACCAAGCCGACGAUCUGUAGCUAGUCUGAGAGGACGACCAGCCACACUGGGACUGAGACACGGCCCAGACUCCUACGGGAGGCAGCAGUGGGGAAUUUUGGACAAUGGGCGAAAGCCUGAUCCAGCCAUGCCGCGUGCAGGAUGAAGGCCUUCGGGUUGUAAACUGCUUUUGUACGGAACGAAAAGGUUUGGCCUAAUAAGCUGAGCUCAUGACGGUACCGUAAGAAUAAGCACCGGCUAACUACGUGCCAGCCGCCGCUUAA